AAACGGAUGCGAUGACGAUCGGCUGGUU
rnacentral:sRNA from 1 species